AUUGAACGCUGGCGGCAGGCCUAACACAUGCGAGUCGAACGGUAACAGGAAGCAGCUUGCUGCUUUGCUGACGAGUGGCGGACGGGUGAGUAAUGUCUGGGAAACUGCCCGAUGGAGGGGGAUAACUACUGGAAACGGUAGCUAAUACCGCAUAACGUCGCAAGACCAAAGAGGGGGACCUUAGGGCCUCUUGCCAUCGGAUGUGCCCAGAUGGGAUUAGCUAGUAGGUGGGGUAACGGCUCACCUAGGCGACGAUCCCUAGCUGGUCUGAGAGGAUGACCAGCCACACUGGAACUGAGACACGGUCCAGACUCCUACGGGAGGCAGCAGUGGGGAAUAUUGCACAAUGGGCGCAAGCCUGAUGCAGCCAUGCCGCGUGUAUGAAGAAGGCCUUCGGGUUGUAAAGUACUUUCAGCGGGGAGGAAGGGAGUAAAGUUAAUACCUUUGCUCAUUGACGUUACCCGCAGAAGAAGCACCGGCUAACUCCGUG
rnacentral:rRNA from 1 species